rnacentral:lncRNA from 1 species
AGGGGGGUUUUACUCUCCCUUGAGGUAAGCGUGGAUGCAAUGGAUUUUGAUUUUGGCUUGGGUGCAAAUUGAGUACUGACGGUGAGACUUAUUCCAUUUGUUUAUCCUUUUGGCCUCUUAAUCAAGAACAACGCUCAAAGCUUACAUGGUUGUCAAUCUUGGGUGCCUUGUGCAGACUUUCCAGUUUAGGCAUCAUUUCGAAAUUGUUUGGCGUCCAUGAAUUUCCCGAUGAGCUUGGCCUGCACCACGCUGCCUCAUGUAGGAUUUUGGCGCUCGUGAUCUUCCUUGCUUAGGUGACCUGCCCCAAUCCUUCUUCCCCUCCCCUCUGAUCUCUCUCUCUCUCUCUCUCUCUCUCUCUCUCUCUCUCUCUCUCUCUCUCUCUCUCUCUCUCAGGUUUGACGUGUAUUCUGGUUUAAGCUUAACAUGAUUUUUUUGGUAAAAAUUCCAUGGAGGACGAUGAUUUUAUGUAAAAAAAGGCAUUCAAAGGAAAAUAAUGAUACUUGAGUUCAUCGUGUUUUGUGUGAUUUGCACCAUGAUUGGAUUUUUGGACAAAUGGGCAUUGUUGCUUCACUGCUAUAUGUGGUUGAUGCUUGGUUCAGAAACUCGGUUCGAGUUAAAUUGCUUUAGGCCAUCCUUCGUAUUUUUUUCAGGAUGUGUAUGGAAGCACAAAAGUAGUAUCGACAAUAAAAAGGGUCAUUUCACAUUUUUAUCAAAACCGUGUAUAUAUGCAUUUAAGAGCUUAGCAAGAGAAUAGCCUCUCUGUCCAGGAGAAGAAUUAAUGCUCUGUUUUUUGCAUAUGCAUGCAGCAGCAACGCUUUUGUAUUCUGGUUCAAGAAAAUAUUUACUAUGUGAAAUGAGGAGUAGAAUUGAAAAAAAUGCAACUUUCGAUAUGUAAUAUGUAAUACGUACAGUUUUUUUGGGUAGUCUGCGUCGCAAGAAAGCUCCUGUUUAGAUACAGUCAUCUGCACUAAGCUUCAUGAUUCAUAGAAAGAAAAGGACUCCAUAAAGGUUCAGAUUCUUGUUAUGUUGUGAUUUUUGAGAUUUCUGUAGUUAUUUUAAUACCUAUGAAUUUAAGAAUUGGGAUCAUCUUGAAAAUUACGCUUCCACCUGCUGAUUUGUGUUGCCUUAGCACUCCUGCUGUUUCCUGAAAAAAUGUUGUGCACAGGCUGGCUGUGACCGAUUGGUAUAGAGCCCUAUGUUAUGAAUGUGAAUAUCGAACAAAUUAAAUAUUGGUCUUGUGAUUCUAACGGUAACAAAUCAUUACCCUUUACCGUGAUAUGAUAGUGGUGGUGUCAGAUUAUGAUACAUGGUGCGAAUCUUAUCGUUUCUCUCACGUAAUAUCUUAUUGUUCAAUACUAUGAUCCACAACGUGAUACUGAAAACCUUGAUUAAUGUUGUGUUACAGUUUGUUGCAGUUCUAUUUUUCCUUGAGAUUGUGUUUAUAACAUAUAUUAUAUUUUCAGCUAUUAGAACAAAGUGUCUAUAUCUUGGUUUGAGUUGCCUGCAAAACCAUUUUUUAUGAGCUUGCGUGCUAUUAGAAUAUAGUGUGUGUAUCUUGGUUUGAGUUACCUUCAAAACUAUUUUUUAGAAGCUUGCACAUUUCUAUUUAGGAAUGAGAUUUCUCUACUGAAUAUGUGAUCCUCACUUCUGAGUGGUAAAUUCUUUUUUCUUUUUGUCAUCUACUUCUACUUGCUGACAUCUACUCCCUCCGUUCCAAAUUACUCGUUGUGGUUUUAGUUCAAAUUUGAACUAAAACCACGACGAGUAAUUUGGAACGGAGGGAGUACAUAUCUAAGGAGCGGGAGGUGAAACUGCAAAUCAAAAUUUCUAUUUUGGAAUGCGAUGUUCUCUACUAAAUGUGAUUGUCAAUUUUGUGUGGUAAUUAAUUUCUGAGCCUAUAAACUCUUUGAUGCAGCAAACUACUAUGGUCGCUGAUCCAUCGCAAUAUUGACCAUGAAC